rnacentral:rRNA from 1 species
UACGUAGGGGGCGAGCGUUGUUCGGAUUUACUGGGCGUAAAGAGCGCGUAGGUGGUUCGACAAGUCGGAGGUGAAAGCCCUCGGCUCAACCGAGGAUCCGCGUCCGAUACUAUCGAACUUGAGUGCAGGAGAGGAGAGCGGAAUUCCGAGUGUAGCGGUGAAAUGCGUAGAUAUUCGGAGGAACACCGGUGGCGAAGGCGGCUCUCUGGACUGCUACUGACACUGAGGCGCGAAAGCUAGGGGAGCAAACGGG